rnacentral:piRNA from 1 species
UGAAAAUCUGUCAUGUCCACCUUGGAGCC